UGCAGUUCAGCGUGGCAGGCAGCGUGAAACUGUGCACUGUGGUCACAAUUCAGCGAAAUCCAUAAACAUCUGCCAAUAUAGUGAACUUCAUAGUAGACCAGAUCUGUUCCAUUAUGGACAAGAAGUCCAACAUCCAUGGCAAGUCCACUUUGACCGAUUCUGUGCUAUCAUUGCCCUGGCUGGUGAAACCCAAUUUACAGACACAAGAAAGGACGAGCUCGAGCGCUACAUCCACUCUGUCACCUCCAUUGAUGGCAAGAAGUUCCCAGAAUCUUCGCUCAACCAAUACUGGACCCUACCUUCAAAGUGUUUGAUGCCAUCAUGAACUUCGAGAAGUAAGAAACAGCCAAACUGAUUGAGAACCUUGAAAUCAAGCUAGCUAUUGAAGACAAGAUGUUAAACCCCUGCUGAAAGCUGUAAUGCGCCAUUGGCUGCCAUCCAGAGAGCCUCUGCUUCAGAUGAUCGCCAUCCACCUGACCUAACCAGUUCCUGUUCCAAAGUACUGCUGUGACCUGCUGUAUGAAUGACCUGGAGAUGUUGAAGCUGCCAUGGGGAGUUUUGUGCGAGGAGAACGUGUGGUAUUCACUUUGACGUUCAUGACAUCCACCGAUGCCAUCCAUCUCGGUGGUGGCCAAAUCAUUCCCACAGAGUGCUUUACGCUUGACAGCUGAGCCCAGGCUUUUGGAGCCUGUUUACUUGGGAGAUUUAGUGCCCAGAGACAGUUGUUCGUGGCAUUUAUGGUGUUCUGAACAGGAUGUGUGAAUCCCAUGUUAUUGGAACGCUUCUGUUUGUUGUCAAAGCUAGCUUACUUGUCAUUGAGUCAUUUGGUUUCACAGCUGAUCUUCGCUCCAACACAUCUGGAUGGGCCUUCCCACAGUGAGUGUUUGACCAUUGGCAGAUCCUGCAUGGUGACGCCAUGGAUGCAAACUUGAAGCCGGCAAAUAUUGUAGCAGACACGCGUAAACGCAAGGAGCUCAAAGAAGGAAUGUUAUUGUUUUCUGACUGAUGUAUAUCAUGGAAUAACCAUCUUAACAGUGGCUUUUCUCAAUUCCUUGUGUGUCUUAAGUGUCGAAUUGCAAAAUUAAUAUUUUUUUCAUAUAUAUUACAAUUUAUGUUCUGUGUACACGCCAUGUUUACUGAUGCAUAACGCUCUUCUAUGCUUGCAUACUUUUAGUAUUAUGCAACCAAUUGUUAGGCAUUUAUCUACCAGUUGAAAAUGUGAAUUUCUGUCAGACUCAUGAUUGGAAGUUUUUGUCUGUAUAAGACAAUCUAAAAGCAACCUUGAGCAUCAAUUAUUUUCUGUCUUUUUUCUUUUUCUAUAUUGAUAGUCAGGUUACUGAUGUAAGAAUAUGGAGUUUUAUGGCUACUUGCAUUUUUUUUUUUUUAUUCAUGGAGUGAUUUUUCAGCUGAUUUUUUUUAAUGACGUUUCAAACAGUUUUUCAAUUUUAUUAUUUUUUACUCUUGAUCAGCAUGCUUUUGUGAGGCACAAGUUUGUGAACUGCUGUUGUCAUUCAUUGACGCCUGCCAACAGAUAAGGCGAUGUGGGACAGUAAACCUAUGGGAAUGUUGCCGUUUUAUCUUUACACAUUUUUUUUUAAAACCCAAAUAAAGGUCUACUGUACUGUUGAGAUUUCAAAGGGUUAAGGGGAAAAACUCUUAGCUAUUGAAAUUCUUGGGAGAAUUCCUAGUGGCAAGAGGAACAUUUUUGUGAAUGUGUGUAUACACAAGUCUGAUAUUCGUAUUUUAAUAUAUAAAUGUAUAUUUGUAGGUUUUUAAAGGUUCAAGUAUUACAAAAAUAAAGAGCAUCUUGUGGU